UUCCCCCAGUGUUUGAAAACUCGUCCGAGACUUUUCAGUAUUUUCCAUGAGUAUUGUGGUACUUCUAGACUUGUUUAAGCCCAGAACUCAUUCCUUCAAAACAGAGAGCCUUAAUCUUUAUGUUGGGACACAGACCACAUAUUUGGACGGCUGCCAUGCAUCCAUCUCUGAAGGGCUGUGGACAUGAAUGUGUAUUUCGCGUGGUCUCCGCUGCCCACACCAACAGUGUGGCAUCUCAUAAGUUAACUGCUACCCUAAGGACAUGCCAUUAUGUCUUUCCAGUACGGAUCACAGUGCUGCCAUAUCACAGACGGCAUAGAACCAUGCCUCAUCACAGCUCUGCCCAACUCACAGGCUGCCAAGAUGAGGCCACAGGUCCACCUAGGGCGGCAGAUGCUGGUGCUAUUUGUCAUGACUUUUGCCAAAACACGUACACUGUUGCUCACAUCUUUCAUAAGAAUGGUUGACACUAAGGGGCCAUGGAAAAGCACUUUUAAAAAAUUAUGUGGUGGAAUCAAACUCACAGAGGCAGAAAUGUUAGCGCCAUGCUCUAACCAAAUAAGCUUAGUGUUCCCCACAGUGCUCUCCUGGGUCUCCUCAAGUGGCAACCCCCACUGUUCAGCAUGUGGAAGGUAGAUCCUUAUGACAACACCAGACCCAUAGUUACCAGGAAAGAAAAAGGAAGCUGAGUGUUGUGAAGGGGAAGAAAUCCUUUUUAUAAGAAGUAAUCAUUUUUAGGCCGGGUGCAGUGGCUCAUGCCUGUACCCAGCACUUUGGGAGGCUGAGACAGGUGGAUCACUUGAGGUCAGGAGUUUGAGACCUGCCUGGCCAACAUGAUGAAACCCUGUCUCUACUA
rnacentral:sRNA from 1 species